rnacentral:misc_RNA from 1 species
UCCGGUUUGACACCGGCAGUCUCGCUAGAGUCCUCGCCAUGACGCGUUAGUAACUAACGAUAGGGGUUGCGCUCGUUAAGGGACUUAACCCGACACUUCACAGCACGAGCUGACGACAGCCAUGCAGCACCUGUGUAUGUUCCACCCAAGGGCGUCACUCCUGUUUCCAGGAGCUAAUCCAUACAUGUCAAGCCCAGGUAAGGUUCUUCGCGUUGCCUCGAAUUAAGCAACAUGCUCCACCGCUUGUGUGAGCCCCCGUCAAUUCCUUUGAGUUUUAGCCUUGCGACCGUACUCCCCAGGCGGCACACUUAUCAGUUUACCUUCGGCCGCGAAAUCAUGAGAGAUCCCACGACCUAGUGUGCAUCGUUUACGGCGUGGACUAC